AUUGAACGCUGGCGGCAGGCCUAACACAUGCAAGUCGAGCGAGCGGCGGACGGGUGAGUAAUGCCUGGGAAUUGCCCAGUCGAGGGGGAUAACAGUUGGAAACGACUGCUAAUACCGCAUACGAUUGGAUUGCCAAGUUGGGAUUUGCUAGUGGGGUAGGGAAUGGCACACAAAGGCGACGAUCCCUAGCUGGUCUGAGAGGAUGAUCAGCCACACUGGAACUGAACCACGGUCCAUACUCCUCCGGGAGGCCGCAGUGGGGAAUAUUGCACAAGGGGGGAAACCCUUAUGCAGCCAUGCCGCGUGUGUGAAGAAGGCCUUCGGGUGGUAAAGCACUUUCAGCGAGGAGGCGUUACUCGCAGAAGAAGCACGGGCUAACUCCGUGCCAGCCGCCGCGGUAAUAC
rnacentral:rRNA from 1 species